GACGAACGCUGGCGGCGUGCUUAACACAUGCAAGUCGAACGGAAAGGCCCUGCUUUUGUGGGGUGCUCGAGUGGCGAACGGGUGAGUAACACGUGAGUAACCUGCCCUUGACUUUGGGAUAACUUCAGGAAACUGGUGCUAAUACCGGAUAGGAGCUCCUGCUGCAUGGUGGGGGUUGGAAAGUUUCGGCGGUUGGGGAUGGACUCGCGGCUUAUCAGCUUGUUGGUGGGGUAGUGGCUUACCAAGGCUUUGACGGGUAGCCGGCCUGAGAGGGUGACCGGCCACAUUGGGACUGAGAUACGGCCCAGACUCCUACGGGAGGCAGCAGUGGGGAAUAUUGCACAAUGGGCGGAAGCCUGAUGCAGCAACGCCGCGUGCGGGAUGACGGCCUUCGGGUUGUAAACCGCUUUCGCUCAUGACGAAGCUUUGUGUGACGGUAGUGGGUAAAGAAGCACCGGCUAACUACGUG
rnacentral:rRNA from 1 species